GGUUCGAUCAUGGCUCAGAUUGAACGCUGGCGGGAUGCUUUACACAGGUAAGUCGAAUGGCAGCACGUGGACUUCGGUCUGGUGGCGAGUGGCGGAACGGGUGAGUAAUGUAUCGGAACGUGCCUAGUAGCGGGGAUAACUACGCGAAAGCGUAGCUAAUACCGCAUACGUUCUUCGGGGGAAAAAGCGGGGACCUUCGGGCCUCGUACCAUUAGAGCGGCUGAUAUCGGAUUAGCUAGUUGGUGGGUAACGGUCGCCACCAAGGCGACGAUCCGUAGCUGGCUUCGGAGAGGACGACCAGCCACACUGGGACUGAGACACGGCCCAGACUCCUACGGGAGGUGCAAGGUGGCAGGGGGAAUUUCGGGAAAUGGGGAAACCCUGAUCCAGCCAUCCCGCGUGUGCGAUGAAGGCCUUCGGGUUGUAAAGCACUUUUUGGCAGGAAAGAAACGGCACGGAUAGCACUGUGCAACUGACGGUACCUGCAGAAUAAGCACCGGCUAACUACGUACAGCAGCCGCGGUAAUACGUAGGGUGCAAGCGUUAAUUCCGGAAUUACUUAUGUAAAGUGCGCAGUAAGUGUUCUGGAAAGAAAGAUGAAAUCCCAGAGCUUAACUUUGGAACGAUGUAACGCACUGAGCUAGGAGUGUGUCAGAGGGAGUGGAAUUCCACGUGUAGCAGUGAAUGCGUAGAUACGGUAGAGGAACACCGAUGGCGAAGGCAGCCUCCUGGGAUAACACUGACGCUCAUGCACGAAAGCGUGGGGAGCAAACAGGAUUAGAUACCCGGUAGUCCACGCCCUAAACGAUGUCAAUCUAGCUGUUGGGGCCUUUCGGGCCUUUGCAGCGCAGCUAACGCGUGAAGUUGACCGCCUGGGAGUACGGUCGCAAGAUUAAAACUCAAAGGAAUUGACGGGGACCCGCACAAGCGGUGGAUGAUGUGGAUUAAUUCGAUGCAACGCGAAAAAACCUUUACCUACCCUUGACAUGUCUGGAAUCCGAAUGAGAUUUGGGAGUGCCGCAAGAGAACCGGAACACAGGUGCUGCAUGGCUGCCGUCAGCUCGUGUCGUGAGAUGUUGGGUUAAGUCCCGGCAACGAGCGCAACCCUUGUCAUUAGUUGCUACGAAAGGGCACUCUAAUGAGACUGCCGGUGACAAACCGGAGGAAGGUGUGGGGAUGACGUCAAGUCCUCAUGGCCCUUAUGGGUAGGGCUUCACACGUCAUACAAUGGUCGGGACAGAGGGUCGCCAACCCGCGAGGGGGAGCCAAUCCCAGAAACCCGAUCAGGUCCGGAUCGCAGUCUGCAACUCGACUGCGGAAGUCGGAAUCGCUAGUAAUCGCGGAUCAGCAUGUCGCGGUGAAUACGUUCCCGGCCUGUACACACUGCCUGUCAGCACUCCAUGGGAGUGGGUUUUACCAGAAGUAGUUAGCCUAACCGUAAGGAGGGCGAUUACCACGGUAGGAUUCAUGACUGGGGUGAAAGCUUAACAAGGUAA
rnacentral:rRNA from 1 species